CCUCAAUAGACCGUGUUACAUGACCCUUGUGCUGUAGGUGUGUGAUGGGGGUUCUCUUGCUGCUGAGAAAGAAGACCUUGAUUUUAAAGACCUCUUACAGGACCUGAGAAGAUACAUACACACCAAAACACAAGGCAAAGAGGCCAGCGGUGCCUGGUGCCACAGUGGGCCUUUCUAUUCGUUCAAAUGUGACACCAGAGGAAGGCUGGGACAUCUAUCCGCUCUGCAAUGUUGACAUGCUUCACGUGUGGACUUCAUCCCCUGAUAUAUGCCUGUCAAUUUCCUACCAACUAAUGGUCAUAUAUAGAGGCUUUGUCAGAUUCAGGAGGCAUAUAAAGUCUGGCCUCACUAUUUGUGGUGUCAUCGGCUACUGAAAAAUUGUUGCCCGACUCCUGGAUGAGGAUACGGAAGCAUGCAGAGUUUAAUUUGGCCAAGUGCUCAAGACAUAGAGGAAGUCUCCAGGAAACUAUGCCACUGAGCUCUACACUACAGACCAGUAUUGAAAACUCGUUAUGAAUUCUGAGUGUAAUUCAAAUAUAU
rnacentral:lncRNA from 1 species